rnacentral:rRNA from 1 species
AUUGAACGCUGGCGGCAGGCCUAACACAUGCAAGUCGAACGAGUGGCGGACGGGUGAGUAAUGUCUGGGCAACUGCCCGAUGGAGGGGGAUAACUACUGGAAACGGUAGCUAAUACCGCAUACCAUCGGAUGUGCCCUGAUGGGAUUAGCUAGUAGGUGGGGUAAUGGCUCACCUAGGCGACGCUCCCUAGCUGGUCUGGUAGGCGGACCGCCCACACUGGAACGGAGACACGGCCCAGACUCCUACGGGAGGCAGCAGUGGGGAAUAUUGCACAAUGGGCGCAAGCCUGAUGCAGCCAUGCCGCGUGUAUGAAGAAGGCCUUCGGGUUGUAAAGUACUUUCAGCGGGGAGGCGGUACCCGCAGAAGAAGCACCGGCUAACUCCGUGCCAGCAGCCGCGGUAAUUC